AUUGAACGCUGGCGGCAUGCUUUACACAUGCAAGUCGAACGGUAACAGGCCGCAAGGUGCUGACGAGUGGCGAACGGGUGAGUAAUGCAUCGGAACGUGCCCAGUCGUGGGGAUAACGCAGCGAAAGCUGCGCUAAUACCGCAUACGAUCUAUGGAUGAAAGCGGGGGACCGUAAGGCCUCGCGCGAUUGGAGCGGCCGAUGUCAGAUUAGGUAGUUGGUGGGGUAAAGGCUCACCAAGCCGACGAUCUGUAGCUGGUCUGAGAGGACGACCAGCCACACUGGGACUGAGACACGGCCCAGACUCCUACGGGAGGCAGCAGUGGGGAAUUUUGGACAAUGGGCGCAAGCCUGAUCCAGCAAUGCCGCGUGCAGGAAGAAGGCUCGUGU
rnacentral:rRNA from 1 species